ensembl:lncRNA
AGCUCCUAUGGGAGAGAUGAGGCACAGGAGAUAAUCCCUGGAAGCUUGCAGUCCAGCCAACAAGGAAUGACUGGUGUUGAAAAGCAGACACGCUGCCACAAGUUAGAUGAAAGGUCUUUCUACAAACAACCUGUCUAUCAUUUUCUCAACCAAGAUCCCCCAAGCCACCUUCUGCUUUCCUCAGGUGACUUGUGUUCAGCAUCUCACUCCCAUUUUUCCCCCUUCGGACUGAAGAAAGUGAUAACAUCCCUGGUUUUCAGCUACCACUCUUAAUGGACACAAGAACAUUACAAGCACUCUCUGGAGGCAUUUAUGAUUCUCUUGGAAUACUCUUCCCAUCCACCGUGUUGUUAAACAAAUCAGGACAAUUGUGAGAGUGAGAGCUCAACAGAACUGUAUUCCUAAUUACAUAUGGACAAUAGACAUGCUUGCUUGGUCUUGGAAUGGAUGUAUGACGUCGAUGUAGUUGCAUGUCAAUAACAGGCACUCCUAUAUUGGUCACAGUAUAGUUUGCCAUAAAAAUAAUCUGUCAUGAGUUUGUGUCCUCCCAGAGAGAACAAUAAACAGAUAAGCCAAGAAAGAAACAGACCCAUGUGCUUCUUCAAGAGAGUGGGACAGAAGGAAAGGAAAGAAUGGAUAAGGAUGAGAACAAAAGCCAGAAGAGUCCUGUUGGCACUAGUCUGUCAGACACUGAGGAGGAAGUGCAUAGAUUAAUUCUGCUUUUAUGCAGACCAAUGCUGUGUGAACCAGAUGGGAGAGAAUUCCACACCCAGGUCCCGGACAGUGGAGAUCAAAAACGUACAAAAUGCAGACGGGAAGCCAGAAAAUGGGGAAGAUGCUGUGCAUGCAAAGAAAACACAUAAUUCAGUGUUUCUACUGGUUAGACAUGUGUGCCC